rnacentral:rRNA from 1 species
GACGAACGCUGGCGGCGUGCUUAACACAUGCAAGUCGAACGGAAAGGCCCUGCUUUUGUGGGGUGCUCGAGUGGCGAACGGGUGAGUAACACGUGAGUAACCUGCCCUUGACUUUGGGAUAACUUCAGGAAACUGGGGCUAAUACCGGAUAGGAGCUCCUGCUGCAUGGUGGGGGUUGGAAAGUUUCGGCGGUUGGGGAUGGACUCGCGGCUUAUCAGCUUGUUGGGGGGGUAGUGGCUUACCAAGGCUUUGACGGGUAGCCGGCCUGAGAGGGUGACCGGCCACAUUGGGACUGGGAUACGGCACAGACUCCUACGGGAGGCAGCAGUGGGGAAUAUUGCACAAUGGGCGGAAGCCUGAUGCAGCAACGCCGCGUGCGGGAUGACGGCCUUCGGGUUGUAAACCGCUUUCGCCUGUGACGAAGCGUGAGUGACGGUAAUGGGUAAAGAAGCACCGGCUAACUACGUG